UACGGAAGGCAGCAGUGGGGAAUAUUGCACAAUGGGCGAAAGCCUGAUGCAGCUAUGCCGCGUGUAUGAAGAAGGCCUUAGGGUUGUAAAGUACUUUCAGCAGGGAGGAAAGAAAUAAAACUAAUAAUUUUAUUUUGUGACGUUACCUGAAGAAGAAGCACCGGCUAACUCCGUGCCAGCAGCCGCGGUAAUACGGAGGGUGCAAGCGUUAAUCAGAAUUACUGGGCGUAAAGAGCGCGUAGGUGGUUUUUUUAAAGUCAGAUGUGAAAUCCCUAGGCUUAACCUAGGAACUGCAUUUUGAAACUGAAAAACUAGAGUAUCGUAGAGGGAGGUAGAAUUCUAGGUGUAGCGGUGAAAUGCGUAGAUAUCUGGAGGAAUACCUGUGGCGAAAGCGGCCUCCUAAACGAAUACUGACACUGAGGUGCGAAAGCGUGGGGAGCAAACAGGGAUUAGAUACCCGU
rnacentral:rRNA from 1 species